rnacentral:miRNA from 14 species
AAUCCUGAACACCCAUUAAGUUUGAAUUUCAGAUAAAUGAUAAAUAACUUUUUUAGUAUAAGUAUGUCCCAUCACUACUUGGGGCAUACUUAUACUAAAAAUAUAUUCAUUCUUCAGCUGAGAUUCAAAUUUCACUGGACAUCCUAUAUUUU